rnacentral:rRNA from 1 species
CACGUAGGAGGCGAGCGUUGUCCGGAAUCAUUGGGCGUAAAGAGCGCGCAGGCGGCUUGGCAAGUCGGGUGUGAAAUCCCGGGGCUCAACCCCGGGACUGCAUUCGAUACUGUCAGGCUAGAGGUAGGUAGGGGAGAUCGGAAUUCCUGGUGUAGCGGUGGAAUGCGCAGAUAUCAGGAGGAACACCGGUGGCGAAGGCGGGUCUCUGGGCAGUAACUGACGCUGAGGAGCGAAAGCGUGGGGAGCGAACAGG